GACAAAGGGUGCAAACGUUGUUCGGAAUUACUGGGCGUAAAGCGCGUGUAGGCGGCCCUGCAAGUCGGGUGUGAAAUCCCACGGCUCAACCGUGGAAGUGCAUUCGAAACUGCAGGGCUAGAGUCCUGGAGAGGAAGGUGGAAUGCUUGGUGUAGAGGUGAAAUUCGUAGAUAUCAAGCGGAACACCGGUGGCGAAGGCGGCCUUCUGGACAGUGACUGACGCUGAGACGCGAAAGCGUGGGGAGCAAACAGG
rnacentral:rRNA from 1 species